UUUUUAUGGAUGACCUUUUAGAUUCUGAGUGGAGUUCGAAGAGGCUUAUGGUUUUACAAUGAUGUUUAUUUUAUUUUAUUUUUUUCUGUGGACAACUUUUCUACCAGCAAUUGUGCUCCGAUUUUCAAUGAUAGCACUUUUUCUGAAUUGAAAUCGGACUAGGGAAGUACUUUAAGAAGGUUUUUUUUUUGUUUUCUCAUAAGUUUU